rnacentral:rRNA from 1 species
AACGAACGCUGGCGGCAUGCCUAACACAUGCAAGUCGAACGAGACCUUCGGGUCUAGUGGCGCACGGGUGCGUAACGCGUGGGAACCUGCCUUUAGGUUCGGAAUAACUCAGAGAAAUUUGAGCUAAUACCGGAUAAUGUCUUCGGACCAAAGAUUUAUCGCCUUUAGAUGGGCCCGCGUUGGAUUAGCUAGUUGGUGGGGUAAAGGCCUACCAAGGCGACGAUCCGAUAGGCUGGUCUGAGAGGAUGAUCAGCCACACUGGGACUGAGACACGGCCCAGACUCCUACGGAGGCAGCAGUGGGAAUCUUAGACAAUGGGCGCAAGCCUGAUCUAGCCAUGCCCGCGUGAGCGAUGAAGGCCUUAGGGUUGUAAAGCUCUUUCAGAUGGGAAGAUAAUGACGGUACCAU